rnacentral:rRNA from 1 species
UACGGGAGGCAGCAGUGGGGAAUAUUGCACAAUGGGCGCAAGCCUGAUGCAGCCAUGCCGCGUGUAUGAAGAAGGCCUUCGGGUUGUAAAGUACUUUUCAGCGGGGAGGAAGGCGAUGUGGUUAAUAACCGCGUCGAUUGACGUUACCCGCAGAAGAAGCACCGGCUAACUCCGUGCCAGCAGCCGCGGUAAUACGGAGGGUGCAAGCGUUAAUCGGAAUUACUGGGCGUAAAGCGCACGCAGGCGGUCUGUUAAGUCAGAUGUGAAAUCCCCGGGCUUAACCUGGGAACUGCAUUUUGAAACUGGCAGGCUUGAGUCUCGUAGAGGGGGUAGAAUUCCAGGUGUAGCGGUGAAAUGCGUAGAGAUCUGGAGGAAUACCGGUGGCGAAGGCGGCCCCUGGGACGAAGACUGACGCUCAGGGUGCGAAAGCGUGGGGAGCAAACGAGGAUUAGGAUACC